rnacentral:piRNA from 1 species
GAGGAUUCCAUUGGUUACUUGAGGUAC